GACGAACGCUGGCGGCGUGCUUAACACAUGCAAGUCGAACGGAAAGGCCCUGCUUUUGUGGGGUGCUCGAGUGGCGAACGGGUGAGUAACACGUGAGUAACCUGCCCUUGACUUUGGGAUAACUUCAGGAAACUGGGGCUAAUACCGUAUAGGAGCUCCUGCUGCAUGGUGGGGGUUGGAAAGUUUCGGCGGUUGGGGAUGGACUCGCGGCUUAUCAGCUUGUUGGUGGGGUAGUGGCUUACCAAGGCUUUGACGGGUAGCCGGCCUGAGAGGGUGACCGGCCACAUUGGGACUGAGAUACGGCGCAGACUCCUACAGGAGGCAGCAGUGGGGAAUAUUGCACAAUGGGCGGAAGCCUGAUGCAGCAACGCCGCGUGCGGGAUGACGGCCUUCGGGUUGUAAACCGCUUUCGCCUGUGACGAAGCGUGAGUGACGGUAAUGGGUAAAGAAGCACCGGCUAACUACGUG
rnacentral:rRNA from 1 species